ensembl:lncRNA WASH2P WASP family homolog 2, pseudogene
AAACAGAUCACAAGGGAGCUGCCCACAGAGGCACCAUGACUCCUGUGAGGAUGCAGCACUCCCUGGCAGGUCAGACCUAUGCCGUGCCCCUCAUCCAGCCAGACCUGCGGUGAGAGGAGGCCGUCCAGCAGAUGGCAGAUGCCCUGCAGUACCUGCAGAAGGUCUCUGGAGACAUCUUCAGCAGGUAGAGCAGAGCCGGAGCCAGGUGCAGGCCAUUGGAGAGAAGGUCUCCUUGGCCCAGGCCAAGAUUGAGAAGAUCAAGGGCAGCAAGAAGGCCAUCAAGGUGUUCUCCAGUGCCAAGUACCCUGCUCCAGAGCGCCUGCAGGAAUAUGGCUCCAUCUUCACGGGCGCCCAGGACCCUGGCCUGCAGAGACGCCCCCGCCACAGGAUCCAGAGCAAGCACCGCCCCCUGGACGAGCGGGCCCUGCAGGAGAAGCUGAAGGACUUUCCUGUGUGCGUGAGCACCAAGCCGGAGCCCGAGGACGAUGCAGAAGAGGGACUUGGGGGUCUUCCCAGCAACAUCAGCUCUGUCAGCUCCUUGCUGCUCUUCAACACCACCUAGAACCUGUACAAGAAGUAUGUCUUCCUGGACCCCCUGGCUGGUGCUGUAACAAAGACCCAUGUGAUGCUGGGGGCAGAGACAGAGGAGAAGCUGUUUGAUGCCCCCUUGUCCAUCAGCAAGAGAGAGCAGCUGGAACAGCAGGUCCCUGAGAACUACUUCUAUGUGCCAGACCUGGGCCAGGUGCCUGAGAUUGAUGUUCCAUCCUACCUGCCUGACCUGCCCGGCAUUGCCAACGACCUCAUGUACAUUGCCGACCUGGGCCCCGGCAUUGCCCCCUCUGCCCCUGGCACCAUUCCAGAACUGCCCACCUUCCACACUGAGGUAGCCGAGCCUCUCAAGACCUACAAGAUGGGGUACUAACACCACCCCCACCGCCCCCACCACCACCCCCAGCUCCUGAGGUGCUGGCCAGUGCACCCCCACUCCCACCCUCAACCGCGGCCCCUGUAGGCCAAGGCGCCAGGCAGGACGACAGCAGCAGCAGCGCGUCUCCUUCAGUCCAGGGAGCUCCCAGGGAAGUGGUCGACCCCUCCGGUGGCCGGGCCACUCUGCUAGAGUCCAUCCGCCAAGCUGGGGGCAUCGGCAAGGCCAAGCUGCGCAGCAUGAAGGAGCGAAAGCUGGAGAAGAAGAAGCAGAAGGAGCAGGAGCAAGUGAGAGCCACGAGCCAAGGUGGGCACUUGAUGUCGGAUCUCUUCAACAAGCUGGUCAUGAGGCGCAAGGGCAUCUCUGGGAAAGGACCUGGGGCUGGUGAGGGGCCCGGAGGAGCCUUUGCCCGUGUGUCAGACUCCAUCCCUCCUCUGCCGCCACCGCAGCAGCCACAGGCAGAGGAGGACGAGGAUGACUGGGAAUCCUAGGGGGCUCCAUGACACCUUCCCCCCCAGACCCAGACUUGGGCCGUUGCUCUGACAUGGACACAGCCAGGACAAGCUGCUCAGACCUGCUUCCCUGGGAGGGGGUGACGGAACCAGCACUGUGUGGAGACCAGCUUCAAGGAGCGGAAGGCUGGCUUGAGGCCACACAGCUGGGGCGGGGACUUCUGUCUGCCUGUACUUCAUGGGGGGACGGCUCCACCCAGCCUGCGCCACUGUGUUCUUCUCUUAAGAGGCUUCCAGAGAAAACGGCACACCAAUCAAUAAAGAACUGAGCAGAAACCAACAGUGUGCUUUUAAUAAAGGACCUCUAGCUGUGCAGGAUG